rnacentral:misc_RNA from 1 species
CGACGGGCAGCUAAGAACCACCUGAUCAGAGCAAGGCCAUGACUGUCUGGGCAAUCGGAACAACGAAUCGUGCCAAAGCAGAGAGCGUCGUCACAGUUGUGAACAGGUGCUUUCCUAAUGAGACCCAUGAGGUGCGUCUUUGCAGCGUCAGCUCCGGGGUCAGUGAUCAGCCCAUGUCGGCAGAGGAGACCCAACGAGGUGCUCUAAACAGAGCCAAGGCAGCCCUAGAGGUCAUUUCCAACGCUGACUACGGCGUCGGGCUGGAAGGUGGCAUCGAGCACAUUGCUGGUCGUUGGUUCGAGUGCGGAUGGAUGGUCGUUCUGGAGCGGAAGACGGGCAAGUGCGGGAUCGGAUCUUCUGCGCGUUUUGAGAUGAGCGAAACGAUCAUGAGGCCCAUUCUCAACGAAGGGAAAGAGCUAGCGGAGGUGAUUGACAACCUGACUGGCGAAGAGGAUGUGCGCUCCGGCCUUGGUGCAAUGGGCGUGCUGACGGCUGGCCGCCUUGGCCGCGCAGCAGCUUAUGAGCACGGACUGGUGUUCGCGCUAGCUCCGUUUCUCUCUGACAGCAAGUAUUGGUGAGUGCUAUCGAUUCAUGUUUG